rnacentral:rRNA from 1 species
UACGUAGGGAGCAAGCGUUGUCCGGAAUCAUUGGGCGUAAAGCGCGCGUAGGUGGCUUCAUAAGUCCGUUGUGAAAGUCAAAGGCUCAACCUUUGAAAGCCGAUGGAUACUGUGAAGCUAGAGUACGGAAGAGGCGAGUGGAAUUCCUGGUGUAGCGGUGGAAUGCGCAGAUAUCAGGAGGAACACCGAGUGGCGAAGGCGGUCUCUGGGCAUUACUGACGCUGAGGAGCGAAAAGCAGUGGGGAGCGAACAGGAUUAGAAACCG